rnacentral:rRNA from 1 species
UACGAAGGGGGCUAGCGUUGCUCGGAAUCACUGGGCGUAAAGCGUGCGCAGGCGGCUUUGCAAGACAGAUGUGAAAUCCCCGGGCUCAACCUGGGAACUGCAUUUGUGACUGCAUGGCUAGAGUGCGGCAGAGGGGGAUGGAAUUCCGCGUGUAGCAGUGAAAUGCGUAGAUAUUCGCAAGAACACCAGUGGCGAAGGCGGCUCACUGGCCCGAUACUGACGCUGAGGCACGAAAGCGUGGGGAGCAAACAGG